GUUAGCCGGCAGUGUCUUCUGAAAAGAGAGCUGUUUAGAGAGGCAGUUUUGAAUUCAGGAGCGGCAAGAUGGCAGCGGCAAACCCUGGCGGUUCUCCGGGUUCGUGGCAACCACGGAUGGGAAAAUGUGGAGGUUGCACGGCUGAUGUUUACUGUUCGUGGCACAGGAAGAGGCAGUUUCAUUUCAGGAAUGAGUGUGCACAAUCAAAGGUUUGUUCUCAUAAAAUACUGUCAACCUCAAAUGUUUCUGACAUAAGAUGGAAGGUGUUGCAGCUUUAUUU